rnacentral:rRNA from 1 species
UACGAAGGGGGCUAGCGUUGCUCGGAAUCACUGGGCGUAAAGCGCACGUAGGCGGAUUGUUAAGUCAGGGGUGAAAUCCUGGAGCUCAACUCCAGAACUGCCUUUGAUACUGGCGAUCUUGAGUCCGGGAGAGGUGAGUGGAACUGCGAGUGUAGAGGUGAAAUUCGUAGAUAUUCGCAAGAACACCGGUGGCGAAGGCGGGUCUCUGGACAGUUCCUGACACUGAGACACGAAGGCCAGGGGAGCAAACGGG